AGUUCUAAGGCCUUGACAAAGCAGCCACAGCAUCAGCAGCAGCAGCAGCAGCUUUGGGCCGCUCAGUUGGCAGCUCAAUACAGGAAUACUGCAACUUCAACAGCCAUGNNNNNNNNCAAGCUGGCUAAAUGGGAGGCAAGAAUCGCCUGGGCUAAUGCCCUGUAUUCCUUCUUUGCCUUCAAGUUCAACACUGGAAGUACUAGGCCCC
rnacentral:misc_RNA from 1 species